ensembl:lncRNA
CUUCCAUUUUCAUCUGCCAUAAUUUGUGAAAGAUGUUCCCAACACCACCUGUAAUAACAGAAUGUUUAUUAGUGUGCAAAUGAAGGUUAUAAAUGAUGUUGCUUAUCUGUGGAAGAAAACACAAAAGACAACUUAUUAGCAAAAGACAAAUUGCUCAGCAAGUUUCAAUGAGCUGCUAUGUUUGUCAUGAAAAAAAAAAAAAACUUUUAUUUGCACAGAUCAAUGCUUUUAUAAUCCAUUUAAAAUAAUAUACUUGCCACUAGGUGGCUAUUUGUGAUCAGAUCAUUUUACCAUUUUAAUUACAUUUUUAAUAUCCUGGCUGCAUAAACAAAGAUAAAUUACAAGCCUUGCACAAUCUGGCUGCUAGCUCAGGCACAAUCUGUAAUAAUAUCAGCUUUUGUUUGUGCCUCCUCUAAUUAGAUUCUGAAAUCUCGGCUUUAUCAAUCAAUAAUUUUAAUUUCAGAAUUGCCUUUUGAUCUCACAUUUCAUGUUUGUUUGCAGAAAAUGAUCAGUAGGACAAAGCUGAUAAUUUAUGCAGAAACAAUCUCUCUGCAGAGUUACAAGCACAUUCCUAGCCAUCAACACCACCCGGCAGACUAAGCUUGACAUAGGUCUAAUUAGCAUGCAGAUAUGUGUCGCCUCAUUGGCAAUUCAAAUUGCUUUUUUAUAAUGUACCUCAAAUUGUGCUACUCAAACAUUGUAUUUGAUUUCCAAAGCCCCCUGGGCAUCUCCUAAUGUCUCCCUUCAUCCUGGGUAUGAAGCAUUUAUUGAACAGUCUGCUUCGACUCGGGCUAUCUUUCCAAAAGCACCCUCAUAUCAUAAGCGUGGGACCAGCUUUCCUCCUCCUCCUUCUCCUCAGACAGCAACUUGUUCCUCUGCAGAGCGCCGUGUGCCACGUCCCUGGGCUCAAUGAUGAUAUGUUACCUCACGGGCUCCGGCUCCCACGCUGGCUGCUCUGUUGAGGGCUUCGCUCCUGUGCCACUCAUGUAAAAAGGGGGAGGAUGUCUACAGAGUGCACAUUAAUAUGCGGCACAUAACCACGUCUCUGAAUGCCAGCCUUCCAUUCUUCAUUAAACAAAAUGGCUGGAUUGCGGGGAUUGUUUUCCUCUCUGCACACGCGCGCGCGCGCGCACACACACUAGGCAUGCCGGCACAACCCACACACCCCCACACGCACUCAGCUUUUUCCCUUGCUUUCCCUCACACGCACAAACACGCUUUUCCUCAUGCACCUGAGCACACGCGCAUGCACAAAUACGACCUUCCUGGCUGUCAUAGCGCAUCGCUAUCGGCAGUGUGAGUUACGUGCGAAAAGUUGUCUGCGGCACGCGUGACAUGCAAGGAGAUUCCUGCCGACGUCAGGCCCUUUUUUGCCAUGCAGCAACAAGUGGCAGAAUCAAUGGUGUACAGUUAUUCAGCAGUGUAAUUCAUUUCACUGGCUUUGGCUUCUAGCCAGAUCCGCCAUCUGUCUCUUGCUCUCCCUCUCUCUCUCUCGCCUGAAUUUGUCCUACAUUUCGUAAUGUUACGUGCUUGCCAUCCUUAUUCUAUGUCAGAGGUGCAGCACAAGUCUCGCCCCUGUUCCAGCAUGGAGUUGUUCAAGUUCGGUGGCACUUUGGAUAUUCCAUUUCAGUGCCACGGCAAGAAAAGGGUAAGCAGAAAGGAGGAGAGGAGUAGCUGCAAAGAAUGGUGCUCUUGUAUCCGAAAGCCAGAGCCUCGGCUUUCUAUUUAAGGCAUUGAUAUGGAUCUAUCUCACAUGGGAACUUUUCCUGCUUCGUUAGAGUAUCUUCGUUUGCUUUAUUGGAUGCCGGCACUGAAUGCCACUGCACAGCUUCGUGGAAUGCCUGCUGUUGGAUGCUUGCAGAUCCCUGCCACCAAGCAACCUCCUGCAUUGGAAAUCGGGUGACUACUCCAGGAUCUUAUGCGUGCUUGCUGUUUGAAGCUGCAGAAAAGUGAAUAAUCAAUUAAGUAUUGAUUUCUUGUAAGAUUUGGUAAAUUUCAAAGGGAAGACAAAGAGGAUGGCUUAAGGAAAGCACUGCAGGGACUUGGCGUAAAUUAGAAAACUAACAGCAGUGCAGAAUAAAAUAACACCUCAACUGAAUAUUUCCUUGGAAGAAUUAGCACCAGCUAUUGGAAGACGAUGGUGGAUUUAAUCAAGACGGCAGGCAUGCUUGAGUUUUAACCGUGAACCUGAAAGUGGAGCUAAUUAUAACCACCUUUUUAUAUGGAGCUAAUUUGACUGAAUGGAUGCAAAUGUGCUUUAUUUAUGGAUGAAGAAGCAAGCUUUACAGCGUUGACUUUGGGAUCAUCGCAUAUGCUAAGCUUUACAGCUUGCCUAAAAGUCAAGCCUACAGUACAUUUUUAUUUACCGAGAAGGAACCAAGUUACAUUAAGCUUCAACACAAAGACGAUGUAAGAAUAAUGAAUCCUCAUUUGCAUCGACAUUUGUAUUCAGAUUUGCCAGGCUAUAAACUUGGCAGAUCAAGCGGAAUAUUAAGUAGAGGCUUCCAUGGUAAAUUGCGACUCUUGCAAUUGCCGAGUCGUUUUUUCCUAUUAUUUCUGUGCCUGUGUGCAUGUGUGUGUGUCUGUGUGUAUUUGUGUGUACAUGUGUAUAUAUGUGCAUGUAUGUGCAUAUCUGUAGAGGCAGGUAUUCUCUCAUGAGUACAUGAUUUCUGAGAAGCACGUUGGCCCUCUUUCUCUUGCAGUACCUGAUAUUGGUUUGAAGCAAAAUGAAGCAGGGAUUUGCUAGCAAUAAGCAUGUUAGCUGAAGAUAUAUUGUGACUUAUAAAUAAAGUAUGAACUCCUGUGUCUAGAGACCAUGUGAAAGAAUUCUUUAAAUAAAUAGAUAAACACCACUGUUUAAGGAAACAGAUCAUCUGCAUCAGCUAGAGGUUUGAUUUCACUGCAAGUAGAGUCCAAAGAACAACCUGUGAAAUAGCACUAAGCAUUCCUGCUGCCUACCAUUAUGUACCAUUGUAUUUGUGAUGAUAUUAAUGUAUGAAUACAUGUUUCAUUUAGAAGCCUUGGGCCUUGUAUGCCUGCCAUCAGGUGCUCUCCACUUUGGCUUGGUUGGAUUGCCUCCAGAUUUGGAGUAGUGUAUGUGAAAGCAGAGCUAGCUCUUCUCUUCCAGGGUCGUACAUUGAACCUUUUCCUUCAUUUAUGUUCAUUGAAUAAGAGGUGAACCUAGCUUUAUAUUUCCCUAAAAAUUCUGCCUUUCUCUCUUGCAUGAUCCUUUUUUAUAAAAAGUAAUUGAAAAAGUGGAAGAUCGACCCUAACAUUCCCCCUUUUUAUUCUGUCCGAUAGAAAUUAAUCUAUGCUUGAAUAUGGGACACUUUCUCUUAUCAAUAACAUAAAUUAUAUUAUGUCAGAAGCAAAAGUAAUGUUCUUAGUCAAUGGGUGCUAAAAAUGUUCCAUGAACUUUAAAAUAGUUGUCUUAAAACGGCAGCCAAAGUUCUUUGGAAAGAACUUGAGAAUGCCAUUGUAUAGGGAGAUGCAGAAAACAAUCAAGUAUGCAGGAAAUUCUUCUAUUGCCUUCUUCUUGUACAUAGCUUCUCUCUAUCACAUACAGAAUCAUAAGACCCAUUUAUCAGAUAGAAUACCAGAAUGCCAUUAAAGUCUAUAGAAUGUGUUUUCAUAACUGUUUAUAACUGACAUCUGUGUUAGAGAGCUACUGCAGUAGAUAAAAACCCUGUGAUGUUUUUGUUUGUUUGUUUGUUUGUUUACAGUCCUUUUUAAAUAAGUUGAGGGACUUAAUCUAUGUCAGGUCUUUUAGCUUAAUCCAUUGAAAAAUGAGUGUAAUGCAAUGGCUAAACAAAUUGCAAAUAUACUAUAUAAUUAUUGGCUGUGAUUUCAGUUGGGAAAGUCAUAUCAGCUUUGUUUUCUGUAAAAGUACACAAAACUUAAUGCUGUUUUCUUUUCUUACUUUCAUUUUUACUCAGUAAUAGGAUAAUUGAUCAAACAGGGAAUGGUCAGUUGAAAUUUAGCAUUCACAAAGCUUGGAAGAUGACACUUUCUAUGGUGGAACAGUAGCCCAUGGAAAGGCAAAUGCCUUCAUGCUUCAUUAUUUAUUGGCUAUGCUUGGGAAGCUUUGAAACUUGAUUUUUUACUCUAGUGGAAAACAUGGAAUAUAACAUCUCCUUCCUUUGAAAGAGUGUUCUGGACUACAUGUCAAAAAUGGUGCUUAAAGUAGAAAGGAAAGUUAGAAUUUUCAUAUUUACAAGCUCAUCUUCCUCAUGCAUAUCAACUUGAUGAAUUAAUAUCAACGUUCAUUGUUUGGGUUUGUACUUGCGUCUGCUUUUGAAAAUUUACCCUAAAACAGAUAACCAAAGUGGGUUUGUUUUUUUGAGAAGGACAACAGAAUACAAUAUGUCAUCAACUUUCUAAAAAGAAAAUCCAGUGGAAAAGAAGCCCUGGGAUUUAAGUUACAAAUCCAUAGAGAACAGCAGAUUAAUAAACUGUAAUGUUUUUUGCUGGACAUACAUUUACAACAGCUAUAUAGCAAAGUACAAAAAAAAUUCAAAAAAUCUUUCAAAAAAUAAUUCCUGUUGCUAUUUUCCUAUAUAAAAUUCCCAACUAUUUGCUGCCUAUGGCCGCAUUGAGACUAUGGCUAUUACAAAGAAUUAAGAGAUGAAUAAAAAAAUAUUUGAGCUCUAAAAACAUUCAUCAGAUUCACAGACAAACAACAAAAAUCCCUGGCAAAAAAACAGAGAUACAAAGCUACUGAUUCAUGGGAGCAACUCCAACCUGUACUGUGGCCUUCUGUUUUUACUGUUGUUGAAAAAAAUACUGCAGUGCUACUCAUAAUGGAAGUGUUCUCUGCCAUCAUUGGAAAGGAUACAGCACAUUCAGCCUGAGCAUAGUAUUUAACUGCUUUAUAAUCAGUGAUCUCAAAGCCUGUUACAGCAUUUCAGUCUAGUUCAUUGCUACUAAAAAAAUUAAAUUUAAAUUUAAAAACAGAGCAGAAUUCACUCUAUAUUGUAAAGCUCAGACCUGCUGACAUCUUUGAGUGAAAGAUAUCAUUUUCUGACCAAAAGAUUAUUUUGUGUAAGCUACUGUUAUGAUGAGUAUCACCUAAGGAUUGUGUUACAUAUUGGAAUCUUGGUUGGCUUUCUGUCACUGGUAUAGUCUUCAUAUUGAAUUGCAGGCAUGUAUUGUCUUAAGUAGUUUUCCUUCUGUUUUCUGUUUUUCUCAUUACACUGUGCACAUAGAGGCAGUUAGACAAUUUAACUGUUUGUGUUAGAUAGACAGUAAACUAUUUCUCCUUCAUGUUGUUAUUUCCUAGACAUAAAGGAAACAGAAGUGAUUUUUAAAACAAGCAAAUGGACAAAUAGGCAAAACACAUUUAUUCUGGGAAGUGGCCUUUCCACUGAUUUUUUGUAAAUAAUAGGUUUUAAAUGUCUUCUUCACAAAAUGUAACUUAUUUUUCUCCUGCUCUGUGGUUCGUUCUAUGGUCUGUCUUUUGAGACUCUAUCAGUAAUCUCAGAUUGUGCAUGCUGCGGUUCUUUUCAACUAAUUGACAAGAUUUUCUAGUUUUGCUAAAGAUUUUCCUGGGAGUGUGUAGCCCACUGUAAUGUUUUAUUUCCUCUACUUUGGCCAACCAUCUUUUCUUCAGCGAAAUAAAUAUGCUUUCAAUAUCAAAAACUGCUACAUGGUGAAGCUUUUAAUUUAAUUGCUAGAAUUGAGUUAGAAGGUGAUUACUGCACUAUUUUUGGGUUAAAACAAUCCUUGGAUUUCUAAAGACAAAAUAGUAAUGACUAUAAAUGUUGUUAGUUAAUGAGUAAACUGGAUAUGCACAAAAUUUCCUCAGAUCUAUGAUAUCUUUCUAUGAUUGGCUACUUAUUUUUAUCUUGUAUCAAUUUACAAUGCAAACCUAUAAUUUUUGUUUGUAUAACAUCUAGUGUAAUAAGAUUCAAUUCUGAUCAGUAUGUUAACAUAAAUAAUAAUAUAAAUGUAGUGUUGUAGACAGUAGGCAAGCUUUCCAGUGUGGUUGUUUAUUUGCAUAAUCAACAGUAUCUCAUUUAAUUAAGUGAUUACUGUUUUUGAUAAAGUCAUGUGGUCAUUAAUUGUGCUUUUACUUUCAUUGGGAAUUUUGAUUAAUGAGAACAGAUUUUGGUGAAAGGUCAUCUCUCCGAAAAUCAUAACGGCUUAUUUUCAUUAUCAUCACGGUGAGUCAGAGAGCAACACAGAAGUCACUUUACUCUGCAUCAAACUUGGCCAUCUCUCAGGCUGAAAUCAACACUUGUAUAACAAAACUCAACAACUGAGCUCAGGAGAAGACUGAAAAAAGGAGAAUUUAAUUUCUGAAUUUUAGUUUACUACAGUACAGAAAUGAGAGGUGGUGGGAAAUUUUCUGUGAAAUAGAGAAGGGAUAACUGGAUGCUGAUAACAUGUGCAAAGAGAUGGGGAAUUGAACAAUAUUUUUACUGUUAACCUGAUGUCUGUAGUCAAAAGAAAAAAACAAGAAGCAGAACAGAAAUUCCAGUCACUACAACUUGCAAUGUGUAACUACCAGUUUCUAGUAGAUCCAUAAUUUACGUUGGGACCUGCAAUGAAUCAUACCACACAGAAGCAGUCGUAGGCUGCAGAAGAUAAAUCUAAUGACAUGUCAGCUAUUACUAAUUUAGGGCUGCUUGUUUCUGCUCUCUGUAAUGUAAGUUGGAGUUUUUCUGUGGACUACUUUGGCAGCUGUAUGUGGUCUUACCCAGAAGACACUAAAGUUGCUUGUGCCACACUGUGCCAUAGUCUUCAGUCACUGAACAGUCGGUUGCGUUGUAAACAUCUGAAACAUUCUGAACCAUAUUUAUGGUGUCAUUUUCAGCUUAAAGUUUGCUCAUCCUACUCUAAGCAUUUUCCCGUUAACUUAGUAGUUUACCGCUGUACAUUAGAGAAGUACUUGAUUUUUCUUUUCAGUAAAUUUAGGGUUUUGCAUUAAACAUUCUCUAUACAAAAAAUAAAGUUAUCUCAAAAACAGUUUUGGUUUUUCAGUACAUUGCACCCUUCCUUACAUACUAUAAAUGAAAUGCUGCAAAAGACAGCUUUAAGAAGGGUUCAGCUAUGAAAUUUGUUCUCAUCUUAUAUUUCCCAAAUUCAGCUUAGCUUUCCAUGUGCUUAAAAAUACAUUUGUGUCCCGGUGAGUUAGAAAAUUCCCCCUCCUAAAAUCUCUGCAGUCAGAAUGACAGUGGUAAAUCUCGGAACUGCAAUAAGAAAGUGACGAUGAACAGACAUUCCACCAGCUUUUUUUGAGAAUCUUCUUGACAAUGCACUAAAAACUAGAGGUAGUCUAUGGGGAGGCAUUUGGUCAGAUACAGAAGUCUGAUGAGAAAAAAGUGAGAAAUGCAGCUGCAGUUCCACUGCAUGAGUCCAGCCAAUGCUACCAAAAACAUGCAUCCUCUAAGACCAUAGCAAGUAGAAAGCAACAUCACUAUUUCACUAAAGCAGAACACAAAGCUUGUUCAAUUUGGAGAAGAGGAGGCUCUGGGAAGUUCUUAUUGCAGUCUUCCAGUACGUUAAAGGAGGUUGUAAAACAACAAGGGGACCAACUUUUUACAUGAGCAGGCAUCGACAGGACAAGGGGAAAAUAUUUAUAAACUAAAAGAAGGGAGAUUUAUGUUAGAUAUUGGUAAGAAAUGCUUUACUCAGAGAAUAGUAAGGCACUGGAGCAGGCUGCCCAGAGAAGUUGUGGAUGGCCUGUCCCUGGAGGCAUUCAAGGCCAGGUUGGAUGGGGCUCUUGCACCUUGAUCUAGUGGGUAGCAACCCUGGUCAUGGCAGAGGGGUUGGAACCAGAUGAUCGUUGAGGUACCUUCCAACCCAAACUAUGCUAUGAUUCUAUCAUUCUAUCAUUCAAUCAUUCUAUCAUUAUACAGGGAAACAUUAUUUAUACUGUUUAAGCAGUGGAAAUAUCUAAGGAAAUAAAACAAUGAAGCAAUUUAUAGAAUCAACAAUUAAACAUUUUAUUAAGUUCUCACAGUUUUUAAAAGCUUUAUAAUUUGGUUUGCACUUUCAGCAAUAUUGUGCAUGAUCUCUAUGCUGCCAUCAUCAAAUUGCUUUCAAUUUCUAAUAAGUAUUCCUUCAAGUGUGCUUUUUCUCAUACUUAACAACUAUUAAUAUCUGGAUGACCUGCUAUAAGUGUUGCUGCAGAAUCAAAAUUAAAAACUGAAAGAAAGAAGUUGCAACCAUCCAGAUAAUUUACAGUGAAAUCAAGAGUUAUGGGAUAAGGUUGCCUUGUUCUCAAUAAAAAUGGAAGACUGUUUGAUCCUAGCAUCCUUCAAGGUUUUCUAAAAAGUCAUCCACUAGUUUUGUCUCACUUAGGGAUUCCCAUAUUUUACUCAGUCAUCCUUUCCCAGUUGAAUCAAAGUGCUUGUGUUCCUGACUGCUUUUAUUUUCUUUCCAAUUUAUGCUUUAAUCUAAGGGUAACUACAAUGAGAUUCUUUCAGAGAUUUAGUCUUUUAAAAUGGAUGUGAUAAAUGUAUUGAGGCCCUCUGAUCUCAGCAACAAAAGUUUUGUUCAAAAUACCUUGUUAUUUAUAGAAGAAUUGAUGAGUGUGCUCUGUAUCAUUAAAAUUGAAUUCAAGGAUGGUGAUCCUUAAGUUUUGCUUUAAUUGGCAAUUUAUAUUAAAGUAAAAAUAAAUAAAUAAAUAAAUAAAGUUUUUUAAGUUAAAUCCAAGACUUCAGAGCAUGCCAGAGAUUUGAGAAUUUUUUUCUGAUUAGGAGAGCCCAUUUCAAAGGGACAAGAGUGACAGUACUUGCUAAAAUGAAACCUCUAUUCCAGCUGUGAAAAACAGUAAUGUUUCCAAUCUUUACCUUAACAUAUGAGAACAUUUAUCAUUAAUAAAUGGUACAUUUUAGAUAGGAAAUCCUAUUUUUAAAAAAGCACAACUCAUGCUUAAAUUAUCUAAUGAAAGAAAAAAAAAGAUUUUACUGUUCAUUUUACAGUAUUUAUAUAUUAAUGUAUAAUUAUAGUGAACAUUUCUAUUACCCAAGUUGUUAAUAUGACAGGAAAUACAAUGUAGUGAAAUACAGUUGAUACUAUUCUUGCUUCUACCCCCUGAAAAGGCAAUACUGGACAAGAGCUGACUUGAGCAGUGUUAAAGCCAAUUCAGAAAGGGAGGAGUUUCUUCCAUUUAAAAGAAGAAAAAUAUAAUCUUUUUUUUAUCGUCAGAUCAUUUAGAAAAGAAACCACAGGUGGGAAUCUUGAAAGCUUACAUGCGUCAGAAAGGUCAAAAACCAAUUUCUGACUUGUUGAAGACACCCUCCUGAUUCUUUGAAGUGAUUCUUUUUUUUUUUUUUCCUGGUGGUAUUCUUGGUCAGUCAGGCAGCUUAUUAGACAGUCAGACUGCUGCAUUUGACUUUUCUGAAGACUGUGUUGACUUCUUAUUUACACCUUGAUUCAGAUUAAGAAUUCAUUUGUAAAGCUCUAUUUGGUUCUAUUUGGUGAUCUCUCCAAAUAGUCAUCAUUAUUUUUAUUAUCCAGAGUAAGACUAUUUACUGCAGUCUCUCAGGUCUACGAUUUGCCAUUUCAAAACAUAUCUAUCUCUGCAGGUCUUCAAUGUAUUGAAAUAACCUGUAUAAAAUUCAAGUCUUUUUUUUUUUUUUUUUUUUCCCCCAAGAAGGCAUUGUUUAAUAGAAAAAAUACACAAUAACAACCAUUGUUAGGGAUCUUCUUUUAAUGUGUGACUGUAUACUGUGGUAUGACCUUAAUAAUACACUCUAUAGAACUGUUUAAAAUUGCUAAGUUGAACAAAUAGUUUUUAUACCAGAUUUCAUAUAAUUUCUUUCCUAAAAUCUGUAGUAGAAUUUACACUGUAAGUAAAGCAAGUGCAGAGAAAAAUUAAGUACAUGCAGGAAAAAAAAUACCCUACCACUUUACUAAAUGCGUAUUUCCCAUUAUUAUUAAAUGUAACAGAUCUUUGUUCAUAAAACACUGACUCAGAUACUAAAAAAAAAAAAAAAAAAAAAAAGUGAAAAAGAAAGAAAAAUUAAAAAUGAAAUGAACAAGAAAACAAACAAUUUUUGUUUAAUUCAGCUGCUACAUGGAUAAAGUUUCCUGUUAAUUUUUUCCUGCAUCUUAAUGAUUUUGGCAACAAUCUUUCCGGCUGCUACCAAUACAGGAAUCUGGUAGGGCAAGGGGCAAUAGUUUUAAACUAAGACAGGGGAGAUUUAGGUUAGAUAUUAGGAGGAAAUUUUUCACACAGAGGGUAGUGAAGCACUGGAACAAGUUGCUCAAGGAGGUUGUGGAUGCCCCAUCCCUGGAGGCAUUCAAGGCCAGGCUGGAUGUGGCUCUGGGCAGCCUGGUCUAGCAGUUGGUGACCCUUCACACAGCAGGAGGGUUGAAACUUUGAGGUCCUUUUCAACCCAGGCCAUUCUAUGAUUCUAUGACUGUUUAUAUGAUAAAUGCUAUAUCGUGAAUUCUGGACAGUUCAGCAGUAAUGCAGUGGCAUAUCCCCAUUUGAACAAAAUCAAAUCACUACCGGAUAAUGUAAAAAUCUAGUAUAAUUGGUGUUGAAAUUGCAGACAUAGAAAGAAAUAAUUUCUUCUUUGAGGUUGUUGUUAGUUUCCAAAAUAUCUGAAAUUGCUGGGAGAUCUGCAGUCAUAUUCUGAACACUCAUCAUUAAAUUUAUUCUACACAUAGACAUAGACACCUUGUGGAGCUUACUAUAAUUUUGAAUCUACAAACUUUAUCAUCUAAGACUCACUAUUUGUAAUUUUAAGAGAAGUAUGCAGUGUAUCCAGUUGUCUUGUUUUCCAUUCUUUGUAAAAGUGUGGACAUUUUUUGAUAUUUUUUCAGUUGAUUCUAAAUAUUGACCAGAAAAUUGGAAGGGUUGUCAUUCUCCUACAGUAUAUUCUCACUGGUUUCACUGCCAAAGUUUUCAUGAUAAUCUUCAGAAUUUGUAACAACAAUUGUCUCUGACUGUUCUUAAUAGUAAAACAAGAUGGAAAGAACAUUUUCAAGAACAAAUUGUUCAUUCGUGUUCAAACUACUUGCGCUGAAUUUGUUGAAAACCUCUUGCUUUUGCCUUACACUCACACUAGAGCUGUUCCAAAGUAUUCUGGUUUCAGCAUACUUAUUUCUUAUAGUUCCUGGCACAGCUUUCAGAAGAAUGGGAUUCCAAGGAGAUUUCAAAGCCACUUGUUCACAGAAUAACAGUUGUCUAAAGUCUAACUGAACUGUGCCUGUUAACAUCUGGUAUAAUUAUAACAUUUGAUGCUACUAUAUUUUAACUACUAAUGUACUCUCUUUUGAAGAAUAAAAAAGGAUUAAAAGAUGAACUAACAGUUUUGGUAAUCCUAUUCAUAAGACUCUAUUAAGUUGUAUUUCUUUACUGUGAAUACACUGUAAUAAAUGGUACCCCAAAAUUUUAUAUUUGUCACUCAGAAGGUUCAGUUUUCAAAGUUUAAAGUAGCUAUUGGCACAAAUGACUGUAAAAAGACUUUUGAAGCGAGAAUUAUUAAUCAAAAUUGUGGGUAUUCAAAGACAAACAAAAUACAUGUCCAUAAAGUUACAAUUUUGAGAUUCUCAGGAAAAAAUCUUGUAAUGCGCACUUUUACUUUUGGUGGUGAUGAUGGUAGAAGUGAAGGAGUGCAAGUGAUUAAAGCAAUAUUGUAAUACAUAAGUAACUUGGAUUAUUGCCUGACACCUUACAGUCUUAGGAAGAAAAGAAGCUGUAAAUACUUGUUUUCCUGCCACAAUCAGUUAUGAUCGUAUCUCUUAAUAACAGAGGCCUGAAAGAUCUGUAAUUUUUCAAAACUUCUAUAUUCUCUAGGUAAUGUCAGAUUUAUUUACUUGGAAGAGUAAACUAAAAGGUUCUUCUCUUCUUUGCCCUGGUUUUAUAUGUAGAAUUUCAAUGUACCUGGAUUUCUCCAAAUGUGAUGCUUUUUCUAUAUUCAUCUGACUGGUGUUCGAACGUACUUGACCUUAUGCAGAUUAGCUGAAAGUCUAUUCAUUGGACUCCUCUACACUCCCAGACAGCAGCUACAGUGAUAUUCUUCUUGAUUUAUGAGUGUGCAUUGGAUAAAAGAAAGCUUUUCUUCUGCUUACUGCAUGUAAAGUAAUGAGGAGUCCCAGCCAUUCCAUUUCGGAGAGUGUAGGCCCCCUUUCAGGCUGACUGUUCUCACCAUCGCUCACAGAAGAACUGGACAUACUGAAGCUGAAAUCACCCUGGAUCCCAAAUUUGGAUUCUGAGGCUGCCAAACCUUCAUAUCCCCGACUGUAUCAGCUGAAAAGCCAAAACAAGGAUUGGUAUUUUUCAACUUUUCUGUGAUCACCUGAAAUGGGAUUCUUUGCUUCAGAGAUAAGCAUUGUGCCAUUUCAUAAUAGUUAUCAAAUAAUUCUGUAGAUGUGCAGUUUUAACUAUAAACUGGUAUUUUAACAGAUCUAAUGAAUAGAUGCAACCAUUGCCCUGAUUUUGGCUUUUUGUAACUGCUUCUAACUAUAUUUUUUUGUGCACUGGUAUGAUAAAAUUAAAGUUCACUUUUGCUUCAGUUUGACUCCUUAAAGAAAGUGUGUGUGCCCAUGUGUAUGUGUACACAUACAUAUAUGUAUACAUAUAUCAAAAUUGAUUUCCAAGGUGGUAAUGUGAAAUACUUCAGUAAACAGAUCAGAAAUCGGCUGUAAACCCAAUUGUGUGUCUCAUAUUGAAAGAGAAUUACUUGACUGAGUUUGUCUCAAAGAGAUUUUGGCAGCUUUUUGUUUGCAUUUUCUGCCAGUUACAGAGAUCAAAACAAGCACAAAGAUUUUUCCCCAAACUGCCAAAUUAAAACAUUUGCUGUCAGUUCCUUCCAGUUCACUGCUCUCUCAUAGAAUCAUAAAAUAACCAACUUUGCAAACAAGAAAAAAAACUCUGAGAAAUAUUUGUAUCGGACUCUUUUCAAUCAGAACUUCAGAGAGAAGUUGAGUUGGAAGGGAUCUUAAGAUGUCAUCUAAUCUAUUCUCCUGCUCUGUAAAAAAUCAAUUAGGCACAGUGCUGCUGACAGAUAUUUGCCUAAAGUUUUCUUAAAAAAUAGACAUUACAGGAGAUUCUUUAGCCUCACUGAGCAACCUGUUCCAG